GUAGGGCGGGACACGUGGUAUCCUGUCUGAAUAUGGGGGGACCAUCCUCCAAGGCUAAAUACUCCUGACUGACCGAUAGUGAACCAGUACCGUGAGGGAAAGGCGAAAAGAACCCCGGCGAGGGGAGUGAAAAAGAACCUGAAACCGUGUACGUACAAGCAGUGGGAGCCUCUUUAUGGGGUGACUGCGUACCUUUUGUAUAAUGGGUCAGCGACUUAUAUUCUGUAGCAAGGUUAACCGUAUAGGGGAGCCGAAGGGAAACCGAGUCUUAACUGGGCGUUAAGUUGCAGGGUAUAGACCCGAAACCCGGUGAUCUAGCCAUGGGCAGGUUGAAGGUUGGGUAACACUAACUGGAGGACCGAACCGACUAAUGUUGAAAAAUUAGCGGAUGACCUGUGGCUGGGGGUGAAAGGCCAAUCAAACCGGGAGAUAGCUGGUUCUCCCCGAAAGCUAUUUAGGUAGCGCCUCGUGAACUCAUCUUCGGGGGUAGAGCACUGUUUCGGCUAGGGGGCCAUCCCGGCUUACCAACCCGAUGCAAACUACGAAUACCGAAGAAUGUUAUCACGGGAGACACACGGCGGGUGCUAACGUCCGUCGUGAAGAGGGAAACAACCCAGACCGCCAGCUAAGGUCCCAAAGUCAUGGUUAAGUGGGAAACGAUGUGGGAAGGCACAGACAGCCAGGAUGUUGGCUUAGAAGCAGCCAUCAUUUAAAGAAAGCGUAAUAGCUCACUGGUCGAGUCGGCCUGCGCGGAAGAUGUAACGGGGCUAAACCAUG
rnacentral:rRNA from 1 species